rnacentral:rRNA from 1 species
GACAUGCUCAGGACGAACGCUGGCGGCGCGCCUAACACAUGCAAGUCGAACGAGCGAGAGAGAGCUUGCUUUCUCAAGCGAGUGGCGAACGGGUGAGUAACGCGUGAGGAACCUGCCUCAAAGAGGGGGACAACAGUUGGAAACGACUGCUAAUACCGCAUAAGCCCACGACCCGGCAUCGGGUAGAGGGAAAAGGAGCAAUCCGCUUUGAGAUGGCCUCGCGUCCGAUUAGCUAGUUGG